rnacentral:rRNA from 1 species
UGAGGGAAUAUUGGGUCAAUGGGCGGAAGCCUGAACCAGCCAUGCCGCGUGAAGGACUAAGGCCCUACGGGUCGUAAACUUCUUUAGACGCAGAGCAAUAAGGUCCACGCGUGGACCGAUGAGAGUAUGCGUAGAAUAAGCAUCGGCUAACUCCGUGCCAGCAGCCGCGGUAAUACGGGGGAUGCGAGCGUUAUCCGGAUUCAUUGGGUUUAAAGGGUGCGUAGGCGGCCGAGUAAGUCAGCGGUGAAAGACCGGGGCUCAACCCUGGAAGUGCCGUUGAUACUGGCGUGCUCGAGUGCGUGCGAGGAAGGCGGAAUGCGUUGUGUAGCGGUGAAAUGCAUAGAUAUGA